UUUGGUAUUUAUGGCAUAAUUGAUCCACACUGAUUACCAUUUCGAACUCAGUUGUUAAAUAUUAUAGCGGUGACGAUACUUUAUGUGGGAACAUAUGGGAAAAUAACACAAUACCAAAU
rnacentral:rRNA from 1 species